rnacentral:rRNA from 1 species
AGAGAAUAGAUACCCUGGUAGUCCUGGCAGUAAACGGUGCACGUUUGGUGUGGGCGCAAUCGACCGCGUCCGCGCCGGAGCUAACGCGUUAAACGUGCCGCCUGGGAAGUACGGUCGCAAGAUUAAAACUCAAAGAAAUUGACGGGGACCCGCACAAGCGGUGGAGUAUGUGGCUUAAAUUCGAUGCAACGCGAAGAACCUUACCUGGUCUUGACAUGCAUUGUGUCUCCGGUGAAAGCCGGAUAGGGUAGCAAUACCCGCUUUGCACAGGUGCUGCAUGGCUGUCGUCAGCUCGUGUCGUGAGAUGUUGGGUUAAGUCCCGCAACGAGCGCAACCCCGUGUGAUUUGUUGCCACCGGCUUAUGCCGAGCACUCGAAUCAGACUGCCUCGAUCAACGAGGAGGAAGGUGGGGAUGACGUCAAGUCCGUAUGGCCCUUACGGACCAGGGCUGCACACGUACUACAAUGCCCAGUACAAUGUGAACCGAGACCGCGAGGUGGAGGAAAUCAAU